rnacentral:piRNA from 2 species
UUUGAGUCUUAGAUGAGUGGAAAGGUGCUGU